rnacentral:rRNA from 1 species
AUAGAACGCUGCGGGCAGGCUUAACAGAUGCAAGUCGAGCGAGCGGCGGACGGGUGAGUAAUGUCUGGGAAACUGCCUGAUGGAGGGGGAUAACUACUGGAAACGGUAGCUAAUACCGCAUACCAUCAGAUGUGCCCAGAUGGGAUUAGCUAGUAGGUGGGGUAAUGGCUCACCUAGGCGACGAUCCCUAGCUGGUCUGAGAGGAUGACCAGCCACACUGGAACUGAGACACGGUCCCGACUCCUACGGGAGGCAGCAUUGGGGAAUAUUGCACAAUGGGCGCAAGCCUGAUGCAGCCAUGCCGCGUGUAUGAAGAAGGCCUUCGGGUUGUAAAGUACUUUCAGCGAGGAGGCGUUACUCGCAGAAGAAGCACCGGCUAACUCCGUGCCAGCAGCCGCGGUAAUUC